AGAUUCUUUGCGAGCAUUGGGCUGUAAACCAUUCCCCCAUCAGCCAGAGGAACCACUAAGCCCUUAGACCUUCUUUUAUCCAUGCUUGUUACUUUAACAGUUCCCUUGGGUGUGGAGAAGCACAUGUAGAAAAAUGAUGGCUGGACUGGAUGACCUUUUCCAACCUUAACGAUUCUACAAUUCUGUGGUUGAGAUAUUUUUGCCUUUCUCAAAGGUGUGGUGGUUUUGGAGCCUGCAGAGGUGCAUCUCACUGACUGCAGCUCACAGAAGGGAUAUGAAGUUCUUGGGAACCCCAUUCUCAUGAUGCAAGCCAAGCUCUGUUGCUCAGAAGAGACACAGGUGCUGCAUCAAGCUGACACAGCCCUGGCUGGAUGUACAUUUCCAGGAGAACACUGUGGUUUGUUGUUAGUAACGGCUGAGCCAGUUUGCAAAUGGGCAAUGCACCUUGGUUGGCCAGCAGAAAGGAAUACCCACGGAUGCUGUUCGUGUGUCUUGUUCUUGGCCAUGUAUGAAGAGCCUACGUCAGAACUCCUCCUGGGUACUGCAUGCAGAAUGCUCCUGGGGCAGCCCAUCCCCCAGAUUAGCCAGAUGUGAUAUGGAGAUACCGGUGACGUGGAGAAGUCGUGCUGUUGGCAGCGUGAGAUGGCAGGAGGAGAACUGUGGGCUAGGACAAGGAACGGAGUUGGAGCACUCAGUCCUGCAUCUCCUGUAUCCACCCACACUCUCAGGCAGAAGGCACAAAGAGGAGCUGUUCAGAAGAAGAACAAAACAAAGCCAACCGAGGAAAAUCCUAGGAUUUAACAAAGAAAGGGGAGAAGGAAGUGCUUUGAUUUUGAAGAGGACAAGAGGGAAAUGCAAAUUGGAGACAUCUUUCAGAAGUGCACUGGAUACAUGAUGGUGCUCUUCAAGCUGUGUCUUGCAUCUUAAACAGAGCUUGCAAGGUUAACAAAACCCACAGACAGCCACACUGGGAGUGCUGAUUCAGAACAUUUUACACAGUCCUUCGCACUAGGAAGCCUGGAUGGUUCCCAAGAGCGAGCAAUCUGGAAAUAAAAAUGUGUCUGAUCAAUAAAACGAAACGACUUG
rnacentral:lncRNA from 7 species